UUCCUGUCAGAAACAUGCGGAUGUUUGAAAUAAAAUUGUAGAUGACACCUUAGAAGGAAAUGCCAUUAAUGUUCCUAUAAAAAAUGAAAAAUUCUACUUGUCGGACCCGACCCAGCUGAAUAAGGCUCUGUACGAGGCACAUUCUAUGCAGAAUGGCAUUUUUCAGACAGUUGCAAUUAUUAAUAUGGAAAAAUUUGAUGUUACGAAAGAGGCAAAAGAUUCGUUGCACUGUUGAACUGUUAUGGCCGUUAGUGCUUUUCCUGAUUCUUAUGUGGGUUCGCACAAGAGAAUUGAAGAAGUAUAUUCCAGAAUGUCAUUACCAGGAGAAACCUAUGCCAUCUGCUGGCUAUUACCACUUCCUUUAUGGUUUUAUAUGUGCAUUUAAUAACACUUGCCAUGGAUCAUUGGGAGACUCGUUUGGCAGCUUUCAAAACACAACAAAUAAAACACGAUUGUCUGCAGUAUUAGAUGAUGUACAGAAUGUCUUCAGAAAUGAAACUAUAACUUACAAACUCCAGUCACUGAAAGGAAUUGCUGACGAUGUAGAAGACUUAAGUAAAUUUUUUAGAAACCUCUCUCAUGGGCAGAAAUUGCAGGGUUUCAUCAGCAUUAGCAACUUAACUCAAGACGAAAAGAAAUUCAGACUGUUGCUCAGAAAUGCAGGAAUUAGCAGUGAUAAUAUAAAUAAAUUUGUGAGCUCCAAGAUAGCAUUGGAUCGCAUCUCUUUGCAACAUUUUCGCAUGCUGACGAGCAAUCCUGAGAUAUUUCUAUGCAAUGAGACAGUAUUAUCUGAAAUAUUGAUACCAGCAAGACCUGAAGACAUUCACAUCAUGUCUGAAGCAUUCUGUGAUAGCUACAACAGAAAUAUGACAAAUAUUGCGUCUGCUAUACAGGAGCUGCAGAGUACUCCAGAAGCAGUUAAGCAGGCCAUUAAUGUCAUUGAAGAAAAUUUAGGAAGAAAUCUCAGUUGGGGUGAUUGGAAACAGUUCAACAGGCUAAUACAAAAUAUUUCAAGAGAUUUAUCAGAAUUAGAUUCAUUUCAACAAUCUUCUAAAGAUCUCAACAAGGCUAUGCAGGAAUACAGAGAAAUUUCUGCAAUUCUUGAGCAGCACAAUGUAUCUAAUGAAUAUGCGGCUUUCCUGAUGAUUCAGCAUUUUUUCUGUGGCAGAAGUACUGAAGCUCUGUUGGGAAUGUUAAAAUUUCAUGAGGACACAUCAGACAGGAUUGAUGAACUCCAGCAAAAAUUCAGUGGGCUGCAGUAUUCAUAUGAAACUUCAGUAAAUGAUACUGACAUUAGCCCCAAAUGUAAUGAAAUGUUCCAGAAGAUGAGCAGCAACCCUGCGAUUCAUCUUGUAUGGCGUCAAUUAAAGCCAUUCUUUCUAGGGAAAAUCCUGUUCACUCCACGUACUCCUGCUGUAGAGAGGGUGAUACAAAAAUUGAAUGAAUCUUUUGAGGUUGUAGUUCAAUUUAGGGAGCUGUUGCACUUUUGGAACAAUGUCUCCUUUCCUAUUAUUAAGAAAAAUUAUCAUAAUAUUACCUCUAAUAUGCAGUUCAUUAAGACUUUCAUUAAUUCAAAAUCUGGCCAGUUGUUGAUAAAGAAUCUUUUAAAGAUGACUGGUUUACCUAACAGAUCAAUGACUUAUGAACAAGAUAUGCAGCUUAUGAACAGUCUCACAGACAGGCUUUUUAAUGUAACUGAUGCAGAUUUUGAGACUAUAGAAAGUAUACAAACCAAUUUCAGUCUUUUCUUAGAGUGUUUUGAAACACACAAAAUUGAAGGAUUUGACAGUGAAGAAUCAGCUGCUGUGAGAGGAAUGGAAUUAGUUAACAAACAGAAACUUUGGGCCUUGGUGAGCUUCCUGGAACUGGACUCAAAUUUUUCAUUACCUACUUUUGUGAAAUACAAAAUCAGGAUGGAUGCCAGUAGAGUGGAUAACACAUUUCAGAUUGAAGACAGACUACCGAGACCUGGACCUAGAAGUAAUCCUAAUAUUGAUUUAAAAUAUAUAUCAUAUGGUUUUGCAUACCUACAAGAUAUCAUAGAACAUAGUAUUAUAAGUGAACAAACUGGCUCAAAUAGAACAAUUGGCAUUGUGCUUCAGCAGUUCCCAUAUCCAUGCUAUGUGAUUGACAGAUUUAUUCUGGCGAUCUCGCGCCAACUUCCUAUGUUUAUGACCCUCUCAUGGGUGUACAGCUGUGCAAUGAUAACUAAAUCAGUGGUGUAUGAAAAGGAACAUCGCCUCAAAGAAACCAUGAAAAUAAUGGGCCUUGGAAAUAGUGUUCAUUGGUUAGGCUGGUUCAUUGACAGUAUUAUACCAAUGCUUCUAACUAUUAUAUUGCUAACUCUUAUUCUUGUUUAUGGAAAAAUUCUUGAACACUCAGAUCCAUCUGUAGUGUUUUUGUUUCUCCUACUAAACUGUGUUGCAACCAUCAGUUUGAGCUUCCUCAUAUCAACAUUUUUUUCAAGAGCAAAUUUGGCUGCUGCAGCUGGAGGAAUAAUUUUUUUUGUCUUUUAUUUACCAUAUCCAACUAUGGUCAUAUGGGAGCAGGAUCUCACUUCAACUCCAAAGAUAAUAGCAAGCCUGAUAUCUAAUGUAGCCUUUGGAUUUGGCUGCUCCUACUUUGCCCAGUAUGAGGAAUCAGGAAUAGGAAUACAGUGGCAUAAUUAUAAUAGAAGUCCACUUCUACAGGAUUCCUAUAACUUGCGUUAUGUGAUGGUUAUGUUGGUAUUUGACUCCAUUGUAUACUUUCUUCUUGCUACCUACAUAGAAGCAAUUCAUCCAGGCAUGUAUGGUGUACCAAAACCUUGGUACUUUCCAUUUUCAAGAUCGUUUUGGUGUGGUACUUCAUCAGUAGAUGUACUGGAAAUUGGCCUGGAAAAUGGUUCAGCACUGAAGAGUGACAACAGUGAUAACUUUGAACCUGAUCCAUUACAUCUCAGACAAGGAAUUUCUGUUCACAACUUGACAAAAGUUUACAGCAAUGGAAAAGUUGCAAUAAACAAUUUGACAUUAAAUUUUUAUGAAGACCAGAUUACUUCAUUCUUGGGUCACAAUGGUGCUGGGAAGACUACAACCAUAUCUAUUCUCACAGGCCUAUUUCCUCCAACUUCUGGAACUGCAGCUAUAUAUGGUUUAGACAUUAAUCAUGAAAUGGACAGUAUCCGCAAAAGUUUGGGAGUUUGUCCACAGCAUAACGUUCUUUUUGAUAAGCUGAGUGUUGAAGAUCACUUGUGGUUCUUUGCCCAAUUGAAAGAAUAUCCAAAGUAUCAGACUUUGCAUGAAAUAGGGCAAAUGCUUGAAGACUUGAAACUUUCUGAUAAGAGGACAGCACUUGCAUCUGAAUUAUCUGGAGGAAUGCAGAGAAAGUUGUCAAUUGCUGCAGCAUUCAUUGGUGGCUCCAGGACAGUUAUACUCGACGAACCAACAGCUGGUGUGGAUCCAUAUUCGAGGAGAGCAAUCUGGGAAGUGCUUGUUAAAUACAAAACAGGUCGAACUAUUAUUCUGACAACACAUUUUCUGGAUGAAGCAGAUAUUCUGGGUGAUCGUAUUGCUAUCAUUUGUGAAGGAACACUGCGCUGUUGUGGAUCUAGUCUGUUCUUGAAAUCUAGAUUUGGAAAAGGUUAUUAUUUAACUGUGGAAACUGUCUCUUCAAGUAUAAGAGAUCAUGGUAAUAAUUUUGGUUCACACAAUUCCAGUGAUGUGGAAACUAUGGAAGCUGGAACAGAAGUUGCUCAUGCAACCAUAACUGAAUUCAUAAAAAGUAAAAUAGAGUCAGCACACUUGGUUCAGAGCUUAGGAUCAAGUUUUGUUUAUAUAUUGCCUCAGCGAUAUGCCACAGAUAAAUUUGAAGAAUUGUUAAGAAGUCUGGACGAAAUGUCGGAACAACUGAAAAUCUGUUCUUAUGGAAUAAGAGAUACAUCACUUGAAGAAAUUUUUCUGAAUGUUUGCACAGAUGAGGAUUUUGAUUCAUUCACUGAACCUGAGGACAGUGUGUACAUGAAAGGUUUUAAAAGAGCGAAAGUCCAUUAUAAGAAACAUAAAGAUUUGAGUGAGCCCACAGUAACAAUUAGUGAGCAGUCAACAAUAUCUGCAGGUAAUGAACAAGGUCUUCCUUUUUCUGGAAACAAUACCACUCUUCAUCAUGUUGAAUCACAAAGCAAACACAAGAUAGAAGACAGGCAUCCACUGAAACAGUUCUCAGCACUUCAUAUUAAACAUUAUAACCAUGCAAAAAGAAAUAUCAAAGGAUUAUUUUGUGAGCUUAUUUUCCCAGCCGUUUUUGUGUUUUUGUCCCUGCUUUUUACAUUUGUAUUUCCUGACUUGACACAGCAACCAGCAUUAGUUAUUGAUCCAUGGGUUUACGGAUUCCCAAAUUAUGUUUUUUUCUCCUCUCAAAAUUCCUCGUAUACAUCACAAAGACUUGAGAAUGAGCUUACUGGACCCAUUGGGAUGGGAACAAGAUGCAUCAGUAAAUAUAAUGAAAUUGAAAACCAUUGUACAGCUAGAAGCAUUAAUAUGUCUUAUGAGCAUGAUGUUAUCUUAACACCAGUGAAAGAGCAAUGCUCUUGCUCUGGUGGCACUCCACAGUGUGCAAAGACAAACAGGUGGCAAGAACUACCAAGUGCAAAAAUUUCAACUGGUGAUACAGUGAUCAACAUGACAGGUCAUAAUGUGUCGGAUUGGCUUGUGAAAACCAAUAGAGAGUACUGGCGCAAGAGGUAUGGAGGUUUCACAUUUGGAAUUUCUGAUGUUGUCCGUAACUACAAGUUUGCUGAUGGACUUUCAUUUACAAAUAAUACAUUCAACAAGAUCAUAUACGAAAACAACAGCAUUACAAAUGGAGGGCAUAAUACUGAUGAUACUAUGAAAACACAAGAAAUAAUAAAGGUUUGGUUUAACAACAAAGGAUGGAUUUCGUCUGUAGCAUAUAUGAAUGCCAUAAAUAAUGUUAUACUAAGGAUGCUACUGCCAGAAAAUAAAAGUGAAGUUACACAUAACUUUGGAAUUCAGGUCAUUAAUCAUCCAAUGAAUUUUACUUUGAACCAGAUGACUGAAGUUUUAAACAUCAAGUCUGCUUUGAGUCUCAUCCGUGCAGUGUCAGUCAUAUUUGCUCUGAGUUUUGUCCCAGCAUCAUUUGUUGUGUUCCUGGUAGAAGAACGAGUCAGCAAAUUCAAACAUUUACAGCUGGUAUCAGGAGUGAAUCGCCUGGUCUACUGGCUUUCUGCAUUCACUUGGGAUAUGGCCAAUUACAUGCUGUCCGCAUUACUCUGUUUCCUCAUAUUUGUGAGCUUCAAAGAGGAGGCUUAUAUCUCAAAUUCGCCGGCUCUUAUUAUCUUGCUGUUUCUUUAUGGAUGGGCAAGCAUACCUCUUUCAUACCCAGUCAGCUUUCUUUUUUCUAUUCCAAGUACAGCGUUUGUGACUUUGGGCUGUGUCAACUUAUUUCUUGGUGUUAUCACAACAGUUGCUACAUUUAUGUUGGAGUUAAUGGAUGAUGAGGAACUGCAAUAUAUUGGAUCCAUAACAGGAAAAGUAUUUUUAAUAUUCCCUCAAUUUUGCUUGGGCCAAGGCCUUAUGAACAUGGCAACACAGCAUUUCAGUAGGAAAAUACUAUCUGCAUAUGGUAUCAGUACGCAGUUGAAUGUGUUCUCAUGGGAUUUCUUAGGAAGAAAUUUCUUUUGCUUAUUUAUGGAAGGAAUACUAUUUUUCUUAGCAACACUGCUAAUUGAAUACAAAUACAAAGUGUUGAGAUCAGUAAGAAAUGUAAUCUCAAAGCUUUCUCCAGGGCAUUCAAACAAGUUAUAUAAUAAGAAAUUUCCAGAGCCAACUGGCAAGAGGAAGGGAGAUGACGAUGUUGCUGAAGAGCAAUCCAGAAUUUCUAAGGGCAAUACUAGGAAUGAUAUUUUACUGCUGCGUGAUGUUUCAAAGGUGUAUAGAGGAAAUACUACUGCUGUUAAUCAAUUAUCAUUUGGUGUACAACCUGGUGAAUGUUUCGGUUUGCUUGGUCUUAAUGGUGCAGGAAAAACAACAACUUUUAAGAUUCUGACUGGUGACAUAGAAAUGACUUCUGGAGAAGUGUUUAUUUGUGGCAUUAAUAUUGACAUUGGUAUGGCACAAGCUCAGAAGCAUAUUGGUUACUGCCCUCAGUUUGAUGCACUUGAUCCUCUACUAACACCAAGGGAACAUCUGGAUUUGUACAACCGUUUGCGUGGUACACCUGACAGACUGCGAAAACAGAUGGUGAAUAUUGGACUUCAAGAACUAGAACUAUCCGCUUACCAAGAUAGACUUGUGGGAACAUUAUCAGGAGGCAACAAACGAAAACUUGCUACAGCAAUAGCAUUAGUUGGUGAGCCAGCCCUUAUUUUUCUGGAUGAGCCAACAACAGGAAUGGAUGUAAAAGCUCGCCGUUUUCUGUGGACAUGUAUACAACGAGUGGUUCAAAAGGGCCAGUCUGUUGUCUUGACAUCACACAGUAUGGAGGAGUGUGAAGCAUUGUGCACUAGACUUGCUAUAAUGGCAGAUGGACAGUUCACUUGUUUAGGGAGCCCACAACACUUAAAAAAUAAAUAUGGAGAAGGUUACAUCCUGCUGGUGCGCGGAGAAACUGGAGUAUUUGAUUCUGCAUUGGAAUUUGUGAAACAGUAUUUACCUGAGGCAGCACUGAGGGAAAUACAUUGCAACCAAGCUAAAUAUCAGAUUCCUCAAAACACAGUGAACUUGGCCAAAAUUUUUCAUGAAAUGGAAGUAUGUCGAAAGUCUGGUUUUAUACAAGAUUAUUCUGUUUCACAGACUCAACUGGAAGAGGUGUUCUUGCACUUUGCAAUGGAGAAUAUGGGUUGAGAACGAUGCUCACUAAGGUGUCCAUGUGACAAAAGGAGAUAUUGCAAGGCUUUGAGAAUCUCCAAUGGAUAAAAAAUAUUCUACUUAGAAAUUUGAUCUGAUAAGCUGUCACGUGGACAGUACGAGUUCUUCAGAGCAACCCGAAAUCAUUGGUCUCUUGCAGCUGAACAUGAACCUAUAUUAGCCACCUGUGGAGUUACACAAGUAUUGUUUGUCUGAAAGAUCUCACUAACUUAUGACUUAUUAUGCAACUAUUUAUUCAGAAACAUUACAAUUGAAGCUUUCAGAAAGCUGUGGUGCUGUCUAAAUAUGCACUUCUUCAGACAAUUUUAAUUUUUUAUAAUGUAAUAUUUUUUUUUUUUUUUGUGCUCACUAUCAUAAUGUGCCUUAACAGUAUUCGUCAAAGAAAUGUCAGUAUUUUUAUAUACGUGUUGCUGCACUUUAUUUUUGGCAUGUGAUAUUGUGCAUUAUGUGCGCAUUUACAGUAUUCAUUGUUAGAGA